CAGUAGCCGCGGGAAUACGAAGGGGGCUAGCGUUGCUCGGAAUGACUGGGCGUAAAGGGCGCGUAGGCGGUUUUGACAGUCAGAUGUGAAAUUCCUGGGCUUAACCUGGGGGCUGCAUUUGAGACGUCAAGACUAGAGUGUGUGAGAGGGUUGUGGAAUUCCCAGUGUAGAGGUGAAAUUCGUAGAUAUUGGGAAGAACACCAGUGGCGAAGGCGGCUCACUGGUCCAUUACUGACGCUGAGGUGCGAAAGCGUGGGGAGCAAACAGGAUUAGAUACCCGUGUAGUCCCUGUCUCUUAUAC
rnacentral:rRNA from 1 species